GCGGGUCACGUGACGGAGCCAUUCUAUCGCGAUUGGUUUCUAGAGAAAGGGGCGUGUACCUAGGCGCCACGCGGCCUAUAAAUAGAGACGCAGGCCGCGUACUCUGCCUUUUCGUCGUGGGAUGGAAGGCGUGGGAGGUGCGUGCUUGCGACCUUUGCUUUUGGGAGGCUGGGAAAGAAACGGUUGCCUCCGCUGUAUCUAUUCUGUGCCGCAGUAAUCCGAACGAUCGUGAAGCGGCAAAACGUUUGCGCCUUUUUUACAGAACGUUUCCUCGUUGCCGUCUAGCGGUCGUUGGGAUUUUUGCCGCCUGACGGAUGGGCAGCAGUCCUGAUUGCGAUUGAACAUCUGGCAGAUGUUAUUGACCCAGCAUUUAUUUUACAAUAAAAAUGCCUGGGAUUUGAGCAGAGCCUUUUAGUCGUGGUAUGGUAGGGAUCCUGUCUUGCCUCGCUGCUCUGAUUUGGGGAAUUUUUGUCCUUACUAACUUGCACUCGUACACCUUGCUUAAGGGGUGGGUAACUCACGACGGCAAUGACUGCAGUGCCUUUUAGAGCCGUUUUACGAAACAUCACGUGGAACUGAACUGAGAAGAUCGUGGAGAAGGCAUUGCGUUAGGACGGGGGACUGCAAACGUGGCUUUUUUAAGACUUGUGGACUUCAACUCCCAGAUUCUCCCAACCAAUGGAGAAUCGUGAUUGUGAGUUGGAUGUGCUUCAGUGCCCUUGAGUACAUUGUCCUUGGUGCUGACAAAUUAAGUCUCGGUUGGUGAAAAGGGAGACUUUGGGGCUUCUUGAGGUAUAGUGGUGUGGAGGUGGCGUUUUAUGGUCCAUAAUUGGGCAGUAGAUUGUACUUUGCUUUUGCAAGGACUCUCGAGAGGGAGAGAGGUCCGGUAUAUGUCUUGAUUCCAGAGGUAGAUUUGUGAGGUUUGGAAUACGACUUUGCUGAUGCCAAAGCACCCACCCCUUGUGCUUUCAGAUGUGUUGCGCCCCUGACUUACCUAAUGCUUUCUAGUUCACAUGUUUGAAAAAGUUGGAAUUGGUGAAUAGGGCAUGACUCACUUGCCAUAUAAAAGAAAGGUUAGAACUUUAUUCUAGUUUAAUGAUGGCGGUGUAUCCUGAGUUGGAAGUGGGUGGGGGGAACGUUUUCCUCCCUCAAAUGUGAAAAGUGCCAGUGGUCCUGCAGAGAAGGUGCUUUAGAGCAAAAAAAAAAAAAGUUUAAGUUUUCCAGCCUGAAAUUUAUGAGCACAAGAGUGAUGGCUGCUAUGAAUGUUGUUAAAAGAAGUGAAGAAAUUCAUGGGUGACAUGUCUGAUACGGACUUGAAUAGUCUUGAAGACUCCAAAGGUUUCCUCCACAUUAUUAACAUCUCCAAAGAACUGCAGUAGGAGAGGGAUAUAGCUGCAUCUCCUUGUGAGCACAUCAAAAUAAACCUUUGUAAUCCUGCUUUUGAGUGAUCUAAAUUGGGAACCCUAUGCUGGCUGCUGUGAUGAUAUUUUUGGCGUGUUAGACUGCUGAUGCAGAUGAAGAGACACUGUAUCUGAGCCACCAGCAUUAGUUGCCCAGGUGCAGGUGUGCCAAGAUUGUCUUGAUGCUGAAUGAAAACCUCUGGAACCAACUGUCACUUGUUGAACCAAGCAACACAAAGAGGGCUGUAAUGUGGGGAUGUCUUGAAUGUUGUAAAUAAAUAAAUUUAAAAAUGUAAAAA